UUGACCGUGUAUUGUCCAUUCCUUGUGUAGUUCCAACAAAAAGUGUCUCGGCGGUGAGUUGAGCUUACAGCCAAACUCCUUAUAAGUGGGAUGUCAUCCAUACUGACAUACCUCUCCAACAAGCUCAUAUCCCAGUCUUUCGACUCCUGAUUUAUAAAAUCACUCACUCUCAUAUUGGGGUUCAUAACUGGCGCCACUGGGACAGCUGGUCUCGCGGGGGUCGUUGGGAUCCACGGAUCUUCCCAAACCUUAACCUCAUAACCCGAAUGAAUCUUCUGUCUAAUUCCCAGCAUCAACAACUCCCUUGCAGCUGAAAUACUAGUCCACACAUACGAUGGGCUACUAG
rnacentral:lncRNA from 1 species